UAAAAUAAAAAAUGACGAUAGUCAUCAACAACAUCAUCAUACAUAAGUGGGAUAUAUAUAUAUAUAUUCGAAUGUUCAAAUUUCAGCUGCUCCCACGGUAUUAUAAACUUGGCAAAAGUGUUUCUGGUCUUUUGGUCUCUCACUCUGUGUGUGUGUGUGUGUGUGUGCGUCCUGUUUAUGCUUAUGUAUCGUCGUCUCUUUCAAUUUCAAAAAAAAAAAAAAAAAAAAAUAACGACAAACCAUGAUGAUGAUGAUGAUGAAGAUCAAAUCCAAUGGCGCGCAAUGUGUGUGUGUGUGUGUGUAUGAUGGAAACAAACAAGAUUCAAUAUGCAUCAAGAAGACCAUAUAUCAUCAUCAUCAUCAUCAUCAAUGCCCGUUUACCAACAACAUUUAUAUAGUUGAUGGCCGUCUGUUCACAUCAAACAUUUCUAUGUGUGUGUGUGUGUACAAAAGUUUCGAGGUUUUUUCUCAAUCCAUCCAUCCACCAAUUUCAUUCAUUCAUUCAUUUAUUAAUUGAACAACCAUUCGUAUGGAACGAAAUGAAAUGAAAUGAAAAUGUUCAGUUUUAAAAUGGCAUGGUAACGUGUGUGUUUAACGUGAAAAAAAACCUAACCGAUUUUAUAAUCCAGUUCACAUAACCAAUGAAUCAACGAAUCAAAACGUGUGCACGUCUAUUGCAACUUGUAUAGGUAACCAGACGAGAAAAAAAAACGUUCGAAUCUAUUUUACAUGUAAUGAUGAUGUACAUUGAUGAGAAAAAUUACGCGCCAUUUCAUCGUUGAUUUUAGUGAA